rnacentral:rRNA from 1 species
GGGUUGUGAGGUUAAGCGACUAAGCGUACACGGUGGAUGCCCUGGCAGUCAGAGGCGAUGAAGGACGUGCUAAUCUGCGAAAAGCGUCGGUAAGGUGAUAUGAACCGUUAUAACCGGCGAUGUCCGAAUGGGGAAACCCAGUGUGAUUCGUCACACUAUCGUUAACUGAAUACAUAGGUUAACGAGGCGAACCGGGGGAACUGAAACAUCUAAGUACCCCGAGGAAAAGAAAUCAACCGAGAUUCCCCCAGUAGCGGCGAGCGAACGGGGAGCAGCCCAGAGUCUGAAUCAGCUUGUGUGUUAGUGGAACGGUCUGGAAAGUCCGACGGUACAGGGUGAUAGUCCCGUACACCAAAAUGCACAGGCUGUGAACUCGAAGAGUAGGGCGGGACACGUGGUAUCCUGUCUGAAUAUGGGGGGACCAUCCUCCAAGGCUAAAUACUCCUGACUGACCGAUAGUGAACCAGUACCGUGAGGGAAAGGCGAAAAGAACCCCGGCGAGGGGAGUGAAAAAGAACCUGAAACCGUGUACGUACAAGCAGUGGGAGC